rnacentral:lncRNA from 1 species
UUUUACCUCAGGGAACUCUGAAGACCACCAAGCAGGAAAGUAUAACAAGACAUGGCAGGAGAAGCAGAACAAGUUUUUGAUAACUUCUGUGUGUGUGACCAAGGACUGGAUCUGUUCACCACCUCUGUACAACUUGAAAUCCAUCCCAGCCUCUGGAGAUCCAGGGCAUCAAAUAAACUGAAGUGAUGCAGAGAAUUUUCAGGGAAGCCCAGGACAUCUUUCAGCUGAUGGGACACAUACAUGAAAUGUAGUCCAGAAAUGGCUCCAAAGAACUUUCAGCAUCAAUCAACAAGAUAGAUGAAAGAGGAAGAGAGAAGCAGCACUGCUUGCCCACAUAUGAAGUCAAGAGGUGAGUGACAGAAAAGAGAAAAAAAAUGUUUCAGAUUUGUAUGAUUAAUAUGCAGUAUUUAAAAUCUAACUGGAUUGCUUUGUGAUGAUCAAAUAAGUAGCAGAGGUAGGAUGCUGAAUAUUAUGAACUUUACAUAACAGCCACCUCUCAUCACUCUUUUAAAACAUGAACCAAUUUGUUUCCAGCACAUCCCUGGAUGAAUAACUGCACUGUUGUCUAAAGGGUGGUAAGCUUGAAACACAUAAAUGUAGGGGGUGGAGGAAAGCCCAAGACUGCAUAGAAACUGUUUUCUUGCCUCCUGUUUCAUUGUGGUUGACAACAGAUCUCAUACUAUCCCUUGCCUGCAGCCUACAAUGAAAGUAUUUUUUAUAACAACCUCUAUUGUUAAUUUUCAAGAAGAUGAAAAUGUCUAUAGAAAAGCCAGUGUCACAGAUGAAGACUGAAGUGGCCAAAAUACAUGAAGCAUUAUAUGAUUAAGAUUUUUUUACUGUUCAGCCAGUCACAUCUUUCUUCUCCUUUGAGACAGAUAUAUUUUGAAAUGGCUGUAUUAAGUUAAAAAAAAUCUAUGCCUUGCCUUAACGCUGGGUUUUAUAUCCUAUCCUUUCACAUGUGUGCUUGUGUGUGUGUGUGUGUAAGAUUACUUUAUUAGCUGCCAAGAAAACGUCCUUUAAGGAUUACACUAAAUCUUUAAUUUUGCAGUCAGUGAGAGGGCAUUUCAGAUGAUAUCCAGUGAUAUUCAUAGGGGUUUUUUUCUGGUCUAAUAUCUCACCUAUUCUGCUCCCAAACAAGAAUAAUAUUCUGACAAAAGUAGACCACACCUGAGUUGCAAGGCAGACAACCAAAUAAAGGAGCUGCCUGGCUAAGACCUGGAACUGAU